rnacentral:lncRNA from 1 species
UGUUCUAAAUAAAUGUAUCAUCAAUAAUAAAAUAUCUAAUUCUAAUAAAUAUAUUCUAAACGCAGAGCUAUAAGCGAUAAGCAGAGAGCUCGCAGCACCUAACUAUACUCAAUACUCAAUACUCAAUAAAUAUAUUCUAAUAAAAUAUCAUUAUCAACACUUCAGCUCAAUAGUUUUAUUAAUAUAUAUUAACUACACUAUAAAUAUAUAUAUAACUAAACUAUAUAUUUUUUUAAUCUGUUAGUUUCUUGACCCGUUUCUCAUUUUGUGGCAGUUAAAAUCCAUUCUUACUUCACAGUUUAACUAUUCUUCCAAGAGUCUUAUCCCACUUUCCCCUUGUUGCCCAGCUGAGCAGGAUGUAACAUGUACUACUAUACUGAAUGGGGCUACUGUAAUGAAUUAUUGGAAAUUUAGUAUCCUGCUGCUGAAGCUCUAUUGAACUAGCUGAGCUGCAAGAUCUAGAAUUUACUAGUGGAACUACAUCUGUUGCUAAUGUAUUUUCCUUUGGUCUUAUCAUGUGGGAAAUUAUUACUAGAAUCAAAGCUGAUCCUGAUAUUUUGCCUAGAACAGAGUAUGAUGAAGAUGUAAGAUGCAAAACGAAUGGAUUUCAGAAUGAUUCAACUAAAAUUCCACCACCUUUUCAUAGCCAUAAUAUUGUUUCUGCGUCUUUUCUUUCUGAGAGGAGGAAUCUGAAAGGAGUUGAAAGAUGAUUGUUUAAAAGAAACCUGCAAUUUUCAACCUCAAAUUCAACCUGUUAUGGUGUUUAUCACUCGCACCUUCUUUUGUGUAAUUUCUCAGAUUUGAUAGCAUUUUUUACUCAUUUAAAUAUCAAUUUGCAACCCCGGUGUGUAUUGUAUACAUAUUUUAAUUUCACUUUUGAAGAGGAUUCUAAAAGUACAUGUCAAUGAGGCCUUAUGAAGCACUGAAUGAACAUGUAAAAAAAAUUUUUUUUUAAAUACCUCUUUUAUACUUAAAAAAUUCAUUCAACUAAUUUUAAAAAAUAAACCUUGUAGCUGUAGGAAACAGCUAAUUAGGCAGUUUUGGGUAUAAAUAAAAUCAAUCGUAGCAUCAACCUUUAAACAAAAGUUCUAAUGUGUGUUCAACAAUUUUCAGCUAAAUUAUAUUCUUUACUCAGACUAAUUGCACUGAAUUACAUUUUAUUGAGUAUUAGACAAUCAAAAAUAGAAGCUUUCAGAAUCACGGUUAAUUUUGCCAACAUUGCAUGUCUUGCCAUAAAAGAAUUGAAACAGAAUAGCUUAUCAUAUUAACUUUUGAAUAUUUCAUAUCUAGUGGUGUGAAAAUAAUUUUAAAUCAAAUUUACAUAAACAAAGAAUCGUUCAUUCAAACAUGAAGUUUGCUACUACAAUAAGAAAUUUUUCCAAAACUAUGGGAAGUUGGCUACCCUUCUUUAAUUAUGCAUCAUUUUGCUUCAUUUUUUUACAAAAAAAAUUAAGUUUUUUAAAAUUAUAUGAAUUAAAAGUGUACCUGUUUAUUAGAAACUGCAUGGAGAGAUUGUUUUGUUGCAAAAAGAGUUAUCUUAUUUUUGUGAAAUAUUUUCAUACAUGGCUUUAUUAACCUGCUUUCAUCGCAAAGAUGUGGGAGUACCAUUUACAACUAAAUUAGCCAUCGGCUACAACGUCAUAGAGCAUUGGCUUGAAUUUUUGAAUUUAAUGUGGACCACUUAAAUAUACAUAUCUGCAUGAUGCUCAAUGUUUCAUUUAUUUUUUAAAAAAAUGAUUUCCUCAUUUUGCAGAUGCGAUAUUUAAAUGACAUAAUCAAAUUUAACUGACAUAAUUGAAUCAUGAGAACUGAGUGAACUGUAUUAUGUUAGUCAGCAAUAUUUAAAUAGUAAUAUAGUUAUUUAAUAAAAAAAUUAAAUAAAUUUUUUUUUUUUUACUUGUGUAAGAAAUAUUCGAAGUUUCCGUUGUCUGUCCGACUAGUAUAACCAAUGAUAUAAUGAUGUACACUAACAUUUGCAAACAAGAUCUUUUUAAUUAAUGAUAUCAAUAUACUUCGUCUUCCA